rnacentral:rRNA from 1 species
AUACGCAGCCAUAUCCCCCUGCAGCCCAAGACUGGUUGCCCACUGAAGCUAAGCAGGGUUGAGCCUGGUCAGUACCUGGAUGGGAGACCUCCUGGUAAAAGCUAGGUUGCUGCUAGAA